AAGUUAACACACACAAUAAAACAUCUUAAUAGUUUUAUUUUAAAAUGAUAAUGACACACAUACUAUUAACAUAUACAGCAUCAAAUGCUCUAAUAAAAAAUCUAGAACCUGAAUAACUUCCCUUUUUAGAAUAUAAAAAACACAUAAUCAACAUCAAAUUAUUUUUAUUGUUUGUCAAGAAAGUAAAAUGAAAAGCACGAUGAGAACCAUAAACUCUCAGUACACUAUAUAGUAAUAACUUGUCUUUGCUUUCUGGUAUGACAUUUGAAAAGGACACACAAGACUGCAAAGAAAUCACUUCAGCUCUGCCAAAACAGUUUAAGGUGCUCUGAAAAGGAACAGUUUUUAUUAAAGUCAUUAAGACAGUUAAACUGGCCAUUAGCAGCCUGUAGAUCCCAGCAGUAAUGGAGAAAAGCAGCUCUCUUUCUGGUACUCACCCCUUCAGGCCUCCAUGCUGAACAAUGAGUUGCCUUCUUUUAAGAUUAGGAAGGUGACUCUAGUUUUCUAAAACCUGGUAAAAAGUCAAAGACCUAAACUAUGGACCUCUGAAAAAGUAGUUUUGCUUCUCUAGGUCUAGCAAUGUUCUCAGUGGUAACAACCAGCACCAUGUUAAAGAGACAGGCAUAGGGUCACAAAUCUCCAUGAGAAAUCCAAGACCCACACCAUAGCUAUGUUCUGUUCACUAUCUGUAACAGUAUAACCUGAUCUUGCCAAAGUACUUCUAAAUAAAUAUAUUUAGAGCCCCAAACCCAAAGUUCAGGGUCUUUUGUUAACUGUGUUACCACCACUUAAAAUUCAAUUAAUUUUCAUCUUGAAUUCAGGCACUGACAGUAUAAACUAGAGCUACAUAGCUGAACACCUGGAGAAAUCAUAACUGAUGAAGGCAGUUAUCUGAGUCAUGUUAAUGCAGCCCUAGAGACACCCAGAUGAUGUUCUGAAUUGCUUCCUUUUGGUGUAGUGGUCUGCCCUCAUAUAAGGAGAAGGUAAAAGAGAUAUGCCCCAUAUAUGAGCAGAUUUAAAUAGUGG
rnacentral:lncRNA from 1 species